GACGUAGGGCGCGAGCGUUGUCCGGAUUUAUUGGGCGUAAAGAGCUCGUAGGCGGCUUGUCGCGUCGUUCGUGAAAACCCGGGGCUCAACUCCGGGCUUGCGGGCGAUACGGGCAGGCUAGAGUUCGGUAGGGGAGACUGGAAUUCCUGGUGUAGCGGUGAAAUGCGCAGAUAUCAGGAGGAACACCGGUGGCGAAGGCGGGUCUCUGGGCCGAUACUGACGCUGAGGAGCGAAAGUGUGGGGAGCGAACAGG
rnacentral:rRNA from 1 species